rnacentral:rRNA from 1 species
CAAUAGCGUAUAUUAAAGUUGUUGCAGUUAAAAAGCUCGUAGUUGGAUUUCUGGUAGGGCAGGCCUGGUCCGUCCCCGAUAAGGGUGUAUGAGUACCGGCGCCAGUCUGCCAUCCUUCUAGGGAGUGCUUCACCUACCCUUGAUUGGGCUGGGUACUCGACCUGGAUCGUUUACUUUGAAGAAAUCAGAGUGUUUAAAGCAGGCUUAUUGCUUUGAAUAUAUUAGCAUGGAAUAAUAAGAUAGGACUCUGAUCCUAUUUUGUUGGUUUCUAGGGUGAGAGUAAUGAUUAAUAGGGACAGUUGGGGGUGCUGGUAUUUAACGGCCAGAGGUGAAAUUCUUUGAUUCGUUAAAGACCAACUUAUGCGAAAGCAUUCACCAAGGAUGUCUUCAUUAA